GUUCCCAAAGAUCGUCGACAAAGAAAAUGCAAAAAGCAUUCGGACAUUCACAUUUUACUCAUUCUCUUUUUGGUAUUUUCGUAAUGCUUGAGAAGUUAAACUACUAAUACGAGCAUACAUCAAUGACAUGAGAAGUGAAAAGACAUGAACAUAACAUGACAAGGACACAUAUAUAACUAUCAAACAUGAACAGAGGGAACAAUCACGGUUAUAUGGCUGAAUAUAAAUGUUUCACAACACAAACUCACACACAUAUUUUUGUAUCACAAGUACUUGAGUAAACACAUAAACUUCAAACUAGAACAAAUUCACAAGGUUAGAUAACAUAUAUGGCGAUUGACUGACCACGAAUACAGAACAAGAACACUUCAACUAGUGAGAACGCACAAUAUGUGACACAAUAUUUAUAAGUAUGAAAAUGAAUCGUUCACAGAUUGCAAGCAUUUAUAAAAUCGGAACAUUACACAAUUCUGAACAGUACACUUCUUAAGUUUAUAGAAAUUUCAGAGAGAGAGAGAGAGAGAGAGAGAGAGAGAGACAGCAGGUUCAGUUGGAGACGAGCAGCAGCAGUAGGGGAUUCAGAGAAGAAGUAGGGGCAUCAGGGAGAGAGGAGGAGCAGUAGGACCAAGGAGAAGAAGCAGCAGUGGGUGUGAGGAGAGGGCUUCAACAAGAGGGGUUUAGAGAAAGAAGAAGCAGCAGCGGGGAUUCAGAGAAGAAUAGGAGCAGCAGCUAGAAGCGAGGGAAGAAGGGCGGUGGAGGAGCAGCGGGGAGAUGGAUGGGAGGCGGCGCAAGGUGGUGAGGCGGCGGCGUCGUGGCGCGGGUGGAAGUGCUUGGUGGCGUGCCGCCACGCCGGCCUGGCUCGGCGGCGGCCGGAGGUGGAGAAGGAGGCUGAGGGAAGGAGAGAUGUGCCAGGCCUGAUUUGGGAAUGGAGGCUGCUAGGGAUUUUGAUCCCCUCCGAUCAGAUCUGAACGUUUUCACUUUGGCCCUCCUUCUUCCUUCCUUUGGCACAAGAUGAUCCCUCCACUUCUUAAGCUAGCCCCCCUAAGCUUUGAUCUUCUUCAAGCUUGAGUCCCUCUUUCUUCUCUUCUUGCCCGUGAUCUUGUUCCUCAAUUCUUUCUAGACAGAAACUUCUAGAUUAUAGUGCCUUGUCGCACUUUUCUGCAAAAGAAACAAACAAAUAGUCACGACCUCUUUUGUGAAUAUCAUUUGAAUAUUCGAUAAUUCUAGGCAAGAAACGAUUGACAUUUGUCAAUAAAUGGUGAAUUUGUGUGCCCAAAUUAUGUAUAUGAAAUGUGCUUAUCAAGUUCCCCCACACUUAAAUCUUUGCUUGUCCUCAAGCAAAGGCAUAUGAUAAGAGCAAGAACAUGGACAGUGAACUGACUAGAGAAUGUCAAGUGAAGUAGAUCUCUAAACAGUGCAUGCUUUGGACUUUGCUAGUGAAAAUUAAUGGUUGAGAGUUUCUACAUAUCAAUAGGACACUAGUAAACUCGACCAUUUUAAACUUUUGCAAUGAUAAACGAAGAUUAGCAAGUUCAAAUGCUGACUGUGCCAAAAGGUUCCUAAAGAGAGCAUGAUCCUGAGAACAAAAGGAGCUUGAAUUAAAUCACUUAUUUGCAGAAAUAUAACAUUGUGGUUGAACCACUUAUUAAAUUUGAAGGAAGUAAUGAUAAUAUUUUAUCAGUCUCACCAAAGGAACAUACCACCGAUCCCGAGAACAUGGUAUACACCUGGCUCGACCAAUUAAUAGUUUUUUUAGUUUGUCUCCCCAAAGGAACAUACCACCAAUCCCGAGAACAUGGUAUACACCUGGUUCGACAAUUACAUUUUUUAAUAUAAUUAACACCUAUCCGAUCCAACCAGAUUUCACAAGCCACCGAUCCAGGGAACAUGACAUGCUACUGUUAGGUAGAUCAGAUAAUUAUUUAUUCAUUAUUACUUAUUUAACAAAUGAAUACAAAAAGGAAACAAGAAUCAUCACUCAUCCAGGUCUGGUUCACAUACUAUCGAUCCAGGGAACAUAGCAUGCUAGUCCAUAGUGGCGAGUGAUUGCUCUGAAUGGGAACACAUUAGGCACAAACUCAACAUCUGAAACUUAAUGAUCUAGGUGUAUCAAGGUAAGAGCAGAAAAUAAUUAAGUUUUCUAGUCUACUAGGGAUUUGAGCACUCAAAACUAAUAGCUUUCACUAAUUUCAGCAAAGCAAGCAAUAUGUAGAUCACUAGUUUACAUGGCAUUCAACAAUCAGUUCGCAUAUUCUCAUCAAGCACCAUAUGUCAAAUAAAAUUCAGUGGGGCAACAUUUAAGAAAUGGGAUAAGUAACCCAAAUAACAUUUGAUUUCAGCAUGAUAUACUCGAAAUUGGUCAUGAAACAGCUCACCGGGCACUAUGAAGUAGCACUCGCUUGAUCACUCUCUAAGCUGCUGCUCUUCUCUUUUUGCUUCUCUAUCCUCAUGCCUGCUCCAGCUUCACUCUUCUUCGCGUGUGCCCAUUGCUUCUCCUCAUCACCAUGCCGUGGAUCCACUAGGAUCCCAGGGAAUGUCAUCUCGAACUCGGUCAACUCGCAGUAAAUGGUGCACAAGCAUCAACCUGAAAGAACACUCAACAACCAAGCCAAUACAAGUGACAGAGAGAAUGCCCUCUAAGUCAUCGAUCGAGUACCCUAUCAUAUAAGUAUAUCUAUUGAGCAAAUCAGGAACAUGUAUCAACAACAAGUCACAUGGUGCAUAGGCAAUAUCAGCGAUAUGACAUAACUUAUCCAGAAAGCUGAGAUAAUACCUGAGAUAGUUAGGAAGAAACUUCAGGACUACCUCAAUUGAAGAUACCAAGUGAGGUGUGAUUGUAGAAAUUUCCACCGGACUCGUGUCAACAAGUGAAAUAGUAGAGCUUGGCUCCUUGACAUCUGAAUCCACCUCAUCAUAAUUAACCAUGAAGCUUUCCAUCUUAGGCUCAAGUGUUGAGGAAUCAAUGCGGCUAACAUCAUUGAAGCUGAACUUCUCCAUAUCUGGCUCUAGCAGCACAUGAUCAAUAUCAACUAAAGGUGACUCCUCAAUAUAAAAAACAACUAACUGCAGCUCUGGCUCAUCCAUGGAAGAAUCAUCACAAUGCAAAACUAAAUCUCGAAUGCUAGUAUCCAUAUGAUCUGAAGUGUGUGUGUCAACUAGGAUGGUAUCAUCAUCAUCAAAGAUAAUCCAUGAAAGCUCAAUCUUGUCACACAGAGAAACUGGUUCCGGCUUUUGUGUAAGACAUUCUUGCUGCGAUGAAGUGAAUUGUUGCAAGCAAGCAACUAGACCAGAGGUGGGCUUCUCAUUGUACCACUGAAGUUGGUGGAAGGCUAUGUUCUCAAUCAGCAGAAAAGCAUCAUCAAGUGUCUUGUUUGCUCCACCCGCUGCCAUAUCGACGUAAGCUCGAGUGUCCGAAGUCAAUCCUCUAUAGAAUAUCUGCAGCUCUAACCAUCUCUCGAGCCCGUGGUUAGGACAUCUCCUGAAUAAGGCUUUGUAUCUCUCCCAAGCAUCAUACACGCUCUCGCCUUCACGCUGAAUGAAAUUGAAGAUGUCAUCUCGAAUUGCGGACUGCUUGUGUAGUGAGAAAUAUUUAUCCAAGAAAGCUCGUGAUAUCUCAUUCCAACUGUAUAACCUUGAUGGCAAGGAUCGAUACCAAGCACGAGCAUCAUCACGGAGAGAGAAUGUGAACAACCUGCACAUGAUUGCAUCUUGAGGAACUCCAUGGUACUUGACUGUAUCUGAAUACUCCAUGACUCGGUGUAAGUGCUCAUUGGGAUCCUCAGUAGGCAGUCCUCCAAACUGUUGUUGUUGAACCAAAGCAAUAAGACCAGGCUUUAGCUCAAAAUUUUCCGCCUCAAAAGAUGGCCAAAGUGGCCCUGUGGAAUAGCAUUGGCUGCUUGGCAUCCAAACAUCACGAAGCAUCGCCAUAUCUCCACCAAGUGUAACUAUCAAUCAACCUGUAAAUAGUUCAGAUUUCCUACGCACACUCAAACAGUAAAUACUAGUUAGAAUGUUAGUAUCCUAAUAAGCCAAAGCAACAGCAAGGAAAAAAUAUAUAAAAGAAACACAACAAAUUAAAUACACGACGAAUUAAACACGGAACUAAAAUAAACCUAGUCUAUAGCCAACAUAAUCGCUCGACGCUAGUCCCCGGCAACGGCGCCAAAAUGAUCAAUUGUAAGUACAGCGGGAUAUUUCGCCCAAACUGUGAGUGUCGUGUUCCCCACAGGGACUAGGCGACGACGACUAUGCUCGGCUAAAUCUAGGUAACACAAUUGUAAGAGACGAAUGCUGAAAAUAAAACCUAAACUAACAAGGUCGUUCCCAAAGAUCGUCGACAAAGAAAAUGCAAAAAGCACAGGGAGAUUCAAAAUUUACUCAUUGUCUUUUUGGUAUUUUCGUAAUGCUUAAGAAGUUAAAAUACUAAUACGAGCAUACAUCAAUGACAAGAGAAGUGAAAAGACAUGAACAUAACAUGACAAGGACACAUAUAUAACUAUCAAACAUGAACAGAGGGAACAAUCACGGUUAUAUGGCUGAAUAUAAAUGUUUCACAACACAAGCUCACACACAUAUUUUUGUAUCACAAGUACUUGAGUAAACACAUAAACUUCAAACUAGAACAAAUUCACAAGGUUAGAUAACAUAUAUGGCGAUUGACUGACCACGAAUACAGAACAAGAACACUUCAACUAGUGAGAACGCACAAUAUGUGACACAAUAUUUAUAAGUAUGAAAAUGAAUCGUUCACAGAUUGCAAGCAUUUAUAAAAUCGGAACAUUACACAAUUCUGAACAGUACACUUCUUAAGUUUAUAGAAAUUUCAGAGAGAGAGAGAGAGAGCAGGUUCAGUUGGAGACGAGCAGCAGCAUUAGGGGAUUCAGAGAAGAAGUAGGGGCAUCAGGGAGAGAGGAGCAGCAGUAGGACCAAGGAGAAGAAGCAGCAGCGGGUGUGAGGAGAGGGCAUCAGCAAGAGGGGUUUAGAGAAAGAAGAAGCAGCAGCGGGGGAUUAAGAGAAGAAUAGGAGCAGCAGCUAGAGGCGAGGGAAGAAGACAGGUGGAGGAACAGCAGGGAGAUGGAUGGGAGGCGGCGCAAGGUGGCGAGGCGGCGGCGUCGUGGCGCGGGUGGAAGUGCUUGGUGGCGCGCCGCCACGCCGGCCUGGCUCGGCGGCGGCCGGAGGUGGAGAAGGAGGCUGAGGGAAGGAGAGAUGUGCCAGGCCCGAUUUGGGAAUGGAGGCUGCUAGGGAUUUUGAUCCCUUCCGAUCAGAUCUGAAUGUUUUCACUUUGGCCCUCCUUCUUCCUUCUUUUGGCAUAAGA
rnacentral:lncRNA from 1 species